GACGAACGCUGGCGGCGUGCUUAACACAUGCAAGUCGAACGAAGAGCGAUGGAAGCUUGCUUCUAUCAAUCUUAGUGGCGAAUGGGUGAGUAACGCGUAAUCAACCUGCCCUUCUGAGGGGGACAACAGUUGGAAACGACUGCUAAUACCGCAUACGAUCUAACCUCGGCAUCGAGGAUAGAUGAAAGGUGGCCUCUAUUUAUAAGCUAUCACUGAAGGAGGGGAUUGCGUCUGAUUAGCUAGUUGGAGGGGUAACGGCCCACCAAGGCGAUGAUCAGUAGCCGGUCUGAGAGGAUGAACGGCCACAUUGGGACUGAGACACGGCCCAGACUCCUACGGGAGGCAGCAGUGGUGAAUCUUCCGCAAUGGACGAAAGUCUGACGGAGCAACGCCGCGUGAGUGAUGACGGCCUUCGGGUUGUAAAGCUCUGUUAAUCGGGACGAAAGGCCUUCUUGCGAAUAGUUAGAAGGAUUGACGGUACCGGAAUAGAAAGCCACGGCUAACUACGUGCAGCAGCCGCGGUAAUACGUAGGUGGCAAGCGUUGUCCGGAAUUAUUGGGCGUAAAGCGCGCGCAGGCGGAUUGGUCAGUCUGUCUUAAAAGUUCGGGGCUUAACCCCGUGAUGGGAUGGAAACUGCCAAUCUAGAGUAUCGGAGAGGGAAGUGGAAUUCCUAGUGUAGCGGUGAAAUGCGUG
rnacentral:rRNA from 1 species